UACGAAGGGGGCUAGCGUUGCUCGGAAUCACUGGGCGUAAAGGGUGCGUAGGCGGGUCUUUAAGUCAGGGGGGAAAUCCUGGAGCUCAACUCCAGAACUGCCUUUGAUACUGAGGAUCUUGAGUACGGGAGAGGUGAGUGGAACUGCGAGUGUAGAGGUGAAAUUCGUAGAUAUUCGCAAGAACACCAGUGGCGAAGGCGGCUCACUGGCCCGUAACUGACGCUGGGGCACGAAAGCGUGGGGAGCAAACAGG
rnacentral:rRNA from 1 species